GACGAACGCUGGCGGCGUGCUUAACACAUGCAAGUCGAACGGAAAGGCCCUGCUUGCAGGGUACUCGAGUGGCGAACGGGUGAGUAACACGUGGGUGAUCUGCCCUGCACUUCGGGAUAAGCCUGGGAAACUGGGUCUAAUACCGGAUAGGAGCCAUUUUUAGUGUGAUGGUUGGAAAGUUUUUUCGGUGUAGGAUGAGCUCGCGGCCUAUCAGCUUGUUGGUGGGGUAAUGGCCUACCAAGGCGGCGACGGGUAGCCGGCCUGAGAGGGUGGACGGCCACAUUGGGACUGAGAUACGGCCCAGACUCCUACGGGAGGCAGCAGUGGGGAUUAUUGCACAAUGGGCGCAAGCCUGAUGCAGCGACGCCGCGGGGGGGAUGACGGCCUUCGGGUUGUAAACUCCUUUCGCUAGGGACGAAGCUUUUUGUGACGGUACCUAGAUAAGAAGCACCGGCUAACUACGUG
rnacentral:rRNA from 1 species